CAAAUCGAGAUCACUUAACGAAACCAAAGCAUCCCAAUCCGUAUCCUUUAAAUUAUUGGUAUACUUGUGUAGGCGCAAACUUCUGAGCCAGCUCGGAAUAUCUUGCGGAAGCUCAUUACCAACAUGCUUGUCUGUGUUUUUAGAAUGUGAAAUCGAUUUUCUGGUUUUAUUAGAUCCCCGUGAGCUUCUACGGUAUGUUUGGUUCUUUGAAUUAUUGGGUGGAGUCUCUAUUUUUUCAACUGAACUAAACGGUUGAUAAGUGUAAGGAAGGGUGCAAAGGUGCAUUCCUACGGGUGUCGAGAUAUUAGAAUUAGGAUCUAUAGGAUUCGUUAAAAUCGUAUUGGUAGCAUGCAUCUGUUGAGGUAAACCAGAACCAAUUUCGUAAUGAUAGGGCUGAAAGGGAGGAGUUGAAUUGAAAUUGUUCAAGCAAAAACCACUUCGUCUCCUAUCAAUUUCAGAACCAUGAAUCAACGAGGGUAAUGUAACCGGAGUAGUCGAAUGUGGAAGUU